UGAAGACUCUCCAAAAGCUUCAGGACAGAUCUUCAACAUCACUGACUUCAGAGCUGAACACAGUGGGAGUUAUUCCUGUGGAGCCCAGAACAAGUUAGGACGUAGUAACUCCACCUUUCAUCUGAGUGUUGUGGCAGGGAGUUCAACAAUGAUAGUGAAUAUCAUCAGGACGACUCUGGGGGUCUUGAUCCUGAUUCCUGUGUUUCUCCUGAGUAUCUGGACGAGGAAGAAGAAAGCUC